rnacentral:rRNA from 1 species
UGUGGUGGCGAUAGCGAGAAGGAUACACCUGUAACCUGUAACCAUGCCGAACACAGAAGUUAAGCUUCUUAGCGCCGAUUGUAGUGAAGGGUUUCCCUUUGUGAGAGUAGGACGUCGCCACGC